rnacentral:tRNA from 1 species
GUGCAGUUCAGUGGUAGAGCAUUCACCUAGCAUGUGCAAAGUCUUGGGUUCAAUCCCCAGUGCCACA